GACGAACGCUGGCGGCGUGCUUAACACAUGCAAGUCGAACGCUGAAGCUUGGUGCUUGCACUGGGUGGAUGAGUGGCGAACGGGUGAGUAAUACGUGAGUAACCUGCCCUUGACUCUGGGAUAAGCCUGGGAAACUGGGUCUAAUACUGGAUAUGACAUGCCACUGCAUGGUGGUGUGUGGAAAGGGUUUUACUGGUUUUGGAUGGGCUCACGGCCUAUCAGCUUGUUGGUGGGGUAAUGGCCUACCAAGGCGACGACGGUUGGCCGGCCUGAGAGGGUGAACGGCCACACCGGGACUGAGGCGCGGCACCAACUCCUACAGGAGGCGGCAGUGGGGAAUAUUACACAACGGGCGGAAGCCUGGUGCAGCGACGCCGCGAGAGGGAUGACUGCCUUCAGGUUGUAAACCUCUUUCAGCACGGAAGAAGCGAGAGUGACGGUACGUGCAGAAGAAGCGCCGGCUAACUACGUG
rnacentral:rRNA from 1 species